rnacentral:rRNA from 1 species
UACGUAGGGACCAAGCGUUGUCCGGAAUCAUUGGGCGUAAAGAGCGUGUAGGCGGCUUGUUAAGUCUUGCGUGAAAUCUCGGGGCUCAACCCCGGGAGGCGGGCGGAUACUGUCGGGCUAGAGUCCGGAAGGGGCGAGUGGAAUUCCUGGUGUAGCGGUGAAAUGCGCAGAUAUCAGGAGGAACACCGAUGGCGAAGGCAGCUCGCUGGGACGGUACUGACGCUGAGACGCGAAAGCGUGGGGAGCAAACAGG